CCUACGGGAGGCAGCAGUAGGGAAUCUUCGGCAAUGGACGGAAGUCUGACCGAGCAACGCCGCGUGAGUGAAGAAGGUUUUCGGAUCGUAAAGCUCUGUUGUAAGAGAAGAACGAGUGUGAGAGUGGAAAGUUCACACUGUGACGGUAUCUUACCAGAAAGGGACGGCUAACUACGUGCCAGCAGCCGCGGUAAUACGUAGGUCCCGAGCGUUGUCCGGAUUUAUUGGGCGUAAAGCGAGCGCAGGCGGUUAGAUAAGUCUGAAGUUAAAGGCUGUGGCUUAACCAUAGUACGCUUUGGAAACUGUUUAACUUGAGUGCAAGAGGGGAGAGUGGAAUUCCAUGUGUAGCGGUGAAAUGCGUAGAUAUAUGGAGGAACACCGGUGGCGAAAGCGGCUCUCUGGCUUGUAACUGACGCUGAGGCUCGAAAGCGUGGGUAGCAAACAGGAUUAGAUACCCUGGUAGUCCACGCCGUAAACGAUGAGUGCUAAGUGUUGGAGGGUUUCCGCCCUUCAGUGCUGCAGUUAACGCAUUAAGCACUCCGCCUGGGGAGUACGACCGCAAGGUUGAAACUCAAAGGAAUUGACGG
rnacentral:rRNA from 1 species